rnacentral:rRNA from 1 species
CUUACGGGAGUCAGCAGUGGGGAAUUUUGGACAAUGGGCGAAAGCCUGAUCCAGCAAUGCCGCGUGAGUGAAGAAGGCCUUCGGGUUGUAAAGCUCUUUUGUCAGGGAAGAAACGGUGAGGGCUAAUAUCUCUUGCUAAUGACGGUACCUGAAGAAUAAGCACCGGCUAACUACGUGCCAGCAGCCGCGGUAAUACGUAGGGUGCAAGCGUUAAUCGGAAUUACUGGGCGUAAAGCGUGCGCAGGCGGUUUUGUAAGUCUGUCGUGAAAUCCCCGGGCUCAACCUGGGAAUUGCGAUGGAGACUGCAAGGCUAGAAUCUGGCAGAGGGGGGUAGAAUUCCACGUGUAGCAGUGAAAUGCGUAGAGAUGUGGAGGAACACCGAUGGCGAAGGCAGCCCCCUGGGUCAAGAUUGACGCUCAUGCACGAAAGCGUGGGGAGCAAACAGGAUUAGAUACCCUGGUAGUCCACGCCCUAAACGAUGUCUACUAGUUGUCGGGUUUUAAUUAACUUGGUAACGCAGCUAACGCGUGAAGUAGACCGCCGNGGGAGGUACGGUCGGUCGAGAAGUUAAACGUUAACGUAAAGAAAGUUAGUACGGCGNGAGAGNGCGACGGACGACGACGAGGAGGAGG